AAGAAAAAGAAAAAGAAAGAAAGAAAUGAUUGAGGUGAUUCUGUGGGGUAACCUUGAGGAUGUGAGUGGGGUGACCUUUGGGGGGGUCCUCUGUGGGGUGACCUUGGGGGUUUGUGGGAUGGAUUAUGAGAGUGUCUGAGAAUGGGGUUUGAGGUUAAGUAGGGGUGAUUUGGGACAACUCUAAGGGUGUGACUGGGGGAUGACUUUAGGGGUCCCUGGGGGUGACCUUGUGAGUGAGAGUGGAGUUACUUUGGGGUUUCUAGGAGGUGACUUUGGGGAGGUGAGUAGGGGUGAUUUUGAGGAUGUGCCAGACUUUGGGGGUGUCUUUUGGGCUGCUUGUUGGUAUCAGCAGAGAUGACUUUGGAGGGUGACCAAGAGGGGUAUCUGGGGGUGACUCUGGGGCCCCUCUCCCCCUCUCCCCAGUUCUCAUCCAUAUGAGCAUAGGGCUUCAUGUUACUGGCCGUGGCCCUGUGCCGAGUCCUCCUCCCGCCCACGGCCCUCUCCUCCCGGCCAGUGGUCCUCCGCCUGAACAUGGCCGACUUUGUCUUGUUUCCUCUGCAUCGGCAUUGGGCUCCUGACUUCUCUUCAGCCUGACGCUCUUUUCAGUUAACUGCAAGGCGGUGCACCCGAGUCCGGUGGUGUCCUAACUGGUGACCUCCUACCUGUGCUGGGACGCCAGCGACUUGAUGCUGCACACCACAGGGCACAGUGAGGCGGACAUCCAAACAGCAGAACUCAGACACAGACUCUGAGCACACCCUGGGCCUUCCCAUUUCAUACACCCUCGAGGAUGAGACCCAAGCACCUCCAAGGAAUAGCACCCGAGCUCUUCAGGACACUGACCGGUAGCCAUGGCCAGAUGCCAGGCCAACCCCUUCAGUGUGGCCAUGCCCCAGAUAUUUGACCUCCCCUGAGGCCCCACCCCCUGAUAUCAGGCCACGCCCUCCGAGGGGACCAGUGGCAAACUCCAACCCUCGCUCUAGGGCCCGCCCUUUGCGGCUUUGUCCCUGCCCACUGGGUCCUCACAGUACCCCCACCCCAUAAGUCCAGCAUCCCCGCCCGUUCUGCAGACACUUGUCCAGUGUCCCACUAAGCUCGGCAGUGUGGCUAGUUUGUGUGGCCCUGCCCCUGGUGCCCAGCCUUCGCAGGCCACACCCUGAAGCCACUCUCCACCCCCUCAGCCAGGGUGGUCUGCAUGGAACUUGCUUCCGGGAGUUCCAGCCUCAGCUCCGAUGUCCACUGUUGUCCCCAGGUGGACACAGCACUGCCCAGCAUUUGGUGCAACUCCACCCUUCUGCGGAACGGGCCCCUCCCUGGGAAGGCAUGACUUGCAAUAACAUCCCUCUCUACCUUUUCUGGCUUCCCCGCCACAAUAAAACACGGGCACUUGCUAACCUCUCAG